UUUUAUGAUUUAAAGAAUAUGUGAACUGCUUUGAUUUGCCUUGAAUGUGUUAAGUGAGCCAUGUCAUACUAUUGUGAUUUUAUUGGUUGGUGGAUUAUAAAGUGGGCACUGCAGUGAUGGGAGUUCCGUGGGCCAGCCUAAUUAGAGGGGCACGGUUCCCAAUUAUUGAGCUUACCUCGAUUGGAGAGGCGCGUAGGAUAACUCCCGAGGUAGGAUUUGAGUACACUUCACGCUAGC
rnacentral:lncRNA from 1 species